AUUGAACGCUGGCGGCAUGCUUUACACAUGCAAGUCGAACGGUAACAGGCCUUCGGGUGCUGACGAGUGGCGAACGGGUGUGUAAUGCAUCGGAACGUACCCAGAGGUGGGGGAUAACGCAGCGAAAGCUGUGCUAAUACCGCAUGUGAUCUGAGGAUGAAAGCGGGGGACCGCGCAGCAAUGUUUGGCCUCGCGCCUUUGGAGCGGCCGAUGUCGGAUUAGCUAGUUGGUGGGGUAAAGGCCUACCAAGGCGACGAUCCGUAGCUGGUCUGAGAGGACGACCAGCCACACUGGGACUGAGACACGGCCCAGACUCCUACGGGAGGCAGCAGUGGGGAAUUUUGGACAAUGGGCGCAAGCCUGAUCCAGCAAUGCCGCGUGCGGGAAGAAGGCCUUCGGGUUGUAAACCGCUUUUGGCAGGAACGAAACGGUGUCCGCUAAUACCGGGCGCUAAUGACGGUACCUGCAGAAUAAGCACCGGCUAACUACGUG
rnacentral:rRNA from 1 species